AUUGAACGCUGGCGGAAUGCUUUACACAUGCAAGUCGAGCGGCAGCGCGGGGGCAACCCUGGCGGCGAGCGGCGGACGGGUGAGUAAAGCAUCGGAACGUAUCCUGGAGUGGGGGGAUAACGUAGCGAAAGUUACGCUAAUACCGCAUAUUCUGUGAGCAGGAAAGCAGGGGAUCGCAAGACCUUGCGCUCUGGGAGCGGCCGAUGUCGGAUUAGCUAGUGGUGGGGUAAAGGCCUACCAAGGCGACGAUCCGUAGCGGGUCUGAGAGGAUGAUCCGCCACACUGGGACUGAGACACGGCCCAGACUCCUACGGGAGGCAGCAGUGGGGAAUUUGGACAAUGGGCGGAAGCCUGAUCCAGCCAUGCCGCGUGAGUGAAGAAGGCC
rnacentral:rRNA from 1 species